UUGGCCCUGACUGAAGAUCAGUAGUUACACUCUAGCUGCUGAUUUCAAACAAGGGCCCAAAGAACUGUCUUCCUGUGAUCUGUUGGCUGUUUUGGAAGCUCACCAAGAAUGGCUGUUUCAUUUGGAAGAUACAACC
ensembl:snoRNA